rnacentral:SRP_RNA from 1 species
GCUGGGCGUGGUGGCUCACGCCUGUAAUCCCAACACUUUGGGAGGCCGAGGCAGGUGGAUCACCUGAGGUCAGGAGUUCAAGACCAGCCUGGCCAACAUGGUAAAACCCUGUCUCUA